rnacentral:miRNA from 1 species
CAAAAAUGUCCUCCUAAAAAAUU